ACACCUCAACUCCUCAUGGCUUGCCAUGAUGAGCUUGGACUUUGGGGGUCUUGCUGGCCUGCAGUCAGCUCCUCUCAAAUGAAUCAGCUUGCCAGUGUUUGGUAGCGCCACAGGUGUGAUAAACAUCUACUCUUGUGGUCCCCUGCCAUGUAACCUUCAGCAAUGGGGGUUUGCUGGAGCUCACAAAUGUCUUUCCUCAGUGAAGACAGAUCUUUGAUU
rnacentral:misc_RNA from 1 species